CGCGGCCUAUCAGCUUGUUGGUGAGGUAACGGCUCACCAAGGCAACGACGGGUAGCUGUUCUGAGAGGAAGAUCAGCAACACUGGAACUGAGACACGGUCCAGACACCUACGGGUGGCAGCAGUCGAGAAUCAUUCACAAUGGGGGAAACCCUGAUGGUGCAACGCCGCGUGGAGGAUGAAGGCCCUAGGGUCGUAAACUCCUGUCAUAUGAGAGUAAGGCAUAGAGGGAAUAAUACCCUUUUAUGUUUGAUAGUAUCAUAAGAGGAAGGGACGGCUAACUUCGUGCCAGCAGCCGCGGUAAUACGAAGGUCCCGAGCGUUAUUCGGAAUCACUGGGCGUAAAGAGUACGUAGGCGGUUUGGUAAGUCAGGUGUGAAAUCCCGGGGCUCAACCCCGGAACUGCACCCGAUACUGCCAGACUGGAGUAAUGGAGAGGCAGGUGGAAUUCUCGGUGUAGCAGUGAAAUGCGUGGAUAUCGAGAGGAAGACCAAUGGCGAAGGCAGCCUGCUGGACAUUUACUGACGCUGAGGUACGAAGGCCAGGGUAGCGAAAGGGAUUAGAUACCCCUGUAGUCCUGGCAGUAAACGGUGCGCGCUUGGUGUGGGAGGAUUCGACCCCUUCCGUGCCGGAGCUAACGCGUUAAGCGCCCCGCCUGGGGAGUACGG
rnacentral:rRNA from 1 species